ACACAUGCAGUCGAACGAUGACUUCUGUGCUUGCACAGAAUGAUUAGUGGCGAACGGGUGAGUAACACGUGAGUAACCUGCCCUUAACUUCGGGAUAAGCCUGGGAAACCGGGUCUAAUACCGGAUACGACCUCCUGGCGCAUGCCAUGGUGGUGGAAAGCUUUAGCGGUUUUGGAUGGACUCGCGGCCUAUCAGCUUGUUGGUUGGGGUAAUGGCCCACCAAGGCGACGACGGGUAGCCGGCCUGAGAGGGUGACCGGCCACACUGGGACUGAGACACGGCCCAGACUCCUACGGGAGGCAGCAGUGGGGAAUAUUGCACAAUGGGCGAAAGCCUGAUGCAGCGACGCCGCGUGAGGGAUGACGGCCUUCGGGUUGUAAACCUCUUUCAGCAGGGAAGAAGCGAAAGUGACGGUACCUGCAGAAGAAGCGCCGGCUAACUACGUGCCAGCAGCCGCGGUAAUACGUAGGGCGCAAGCGUUAUCCGGAAUUAUUGGGCGUAAAGAGCUCGUAGGCGGUUUGUCGCGUCUGCUGUGAAAGCCCGGGGCUCAACCCCGGGUCUGCAGUGGGUACGGGCAGACUAGAGUGCAGUAGGGGAGACUGGAAUUCCUGGUGUAGCGGUGAAAUGCGCAGAUAUCAGGAGGAACACCGAUGGCGAAGGCAGGUCUCUGGGCUGUAACUGACGCUGAGGAGCGAAAGCAUGGGGAGCGAACAGGAUUAGAUACCCUGGUAGUCCAUGCCGUAAACGUU
rnacentral:rRNA from 1 species